rnacentral:rRNA from 1 species
CCUACGGGAGGCAGCAGUGGGGAAUAUUGGGCAAUGGGCGCAAGCCUGACCCAGCAACGCCGCGUGAAGGAAGAAGGCUUUCGGGUUGUAAACUUCUUUUCUCAGGGACGAAGAAAGUGACGGUACCUGAGGAAUAAGCCACGGCUAACUACGUGCCAGCAGCCGCGGUAAUACGUAGGUGGCAAGCGUUAUCCGGAUUUACUGGGUGUAAAGGGCGUGUAGGCGGGACUGCAAGUCAGAUGUGAAAACCACGGGCUCAACCUGUGGCCUGCAUUUGAGACUGUAGGUCUUGAGUACUGGAGAGG